GCAGCACCCGAGUUCCUUGCCGGUGGGAUGGUGGUGGCAGGGAUGUCCCUGGGGUUUGUCUCGUGCUUUCCUGUGAGGUUCCCUCCUGGGGACGGUCCCAGCGAGGGUCAAACACGGACAUCACAGCAUGAGCACCCCACGGUCUGUGCCGCACUCACCCCAACGAGACAAGUCCCCCCAUUUCACGGGGGAACGCAGGCAUCGCUCUGACCAGCUACAGAAACAAGGACAUCUCCGUGGGCUCGGCGUCCACGGCAUCGCGGUUAAUAGCCAAUCUGCCUGGGGAGAGGGAGUCUUUUGCAUGCUUUGCACAGAUAUUGAGUGAUUUCCUAAUGCCCAGUGCUUGCUGGGGCGCAGAAGACCCCUCUGCCCCAGCCGGCUCUGGUGCUGAUGUUGGAGCAAGAUGCUGCACCCUCUCUUGCAGCCGGCAUUGGGAGCUGCAUGCAUCCAGCGCAGCCGCCGCUGAGGUUUGUGGUGGGCUGUGUUUUGCCAACAGCAUUUAGUAAACAGCCCCGUGCGUGGUGCACAAGAAAGAUCCUAAUCUGGCUCAAAAAAAGCAAACAAGCCCAAAGUUAUCUCCGCAAGCCAAGUCUGCAAAUGCAGAAAAAUUCCUGCACCCUCUUGCACAACAGCAUCUGCCCUCCUCCUUGCCGGAGAUAAUUGCUCUGUCUACCAGCAAGCUACUCCUGGCAGCACUUGGCCAGGACAUCGUGUCCCAGGGACCGGCUGCUUCCCCCGGGCCAUUAGCGCUGUCACAGCCACCGAGAUGUUUGCUCGCUGCCAUCUCGGAGAUUCCCGGCUUCGAUUUUUGUGGCAAGGUUGUUCCCGACAUCCCGACCGCAGUGACGCCACGCCGAGGGCAGCCUCCGCCGCGCCGGUGCCGGGGGCGGCGAGCGAAGCCUGGCUGCAUCCCACCACCGUCCCAGAGGCCCCGCUCACCCCUGCCCAAUGAGCCAGGGGCUGGGGGGACAUCUCGGCAGCUAAUUUGCUUUGCAGCCCCUUGAUCGCCCAGGGGAAGGCGGGUGCCUUUUCCUCUCGGCCGCCAGCUCCCCCCUUUCAUCCGUGCACGGCCCCAGCGGCUGCGGCGCUGCAGAGAUCCCCAGGACCCACCUGCCAUGGCAGGGAAUUGUGUGCAAAUGAGAACUAUUUUGGGGGAAAACCCAGGAAUGGAGGAAGCCUGCUGGGAUGGAGCAGCCAGACGAGCCUCUGUGCUCGGGCGAGCGAGAGGAGGAGAACAAAGCAAGGUGUGCCUUUAUAAAAAAUGUUAUUAAAAAAGUAAAAGCGGGCAGAAUUGGACCAUGGUUUGAGAAGGACGAGAGGUGGCAUUUCCCCUGGGUGAAGCCACAGUGGCUUUGCAGGAGGUUUGGGGUCAGCAGGGAGGCUGCGGGAUGGCGAGCAACAGCCUGAGCCACUGCCGGCA